GCCUUUGAGAUACCAACAGGUUCUAUUACAUAGCUCCAUUGUGAUUGUGGUGUCCCAGAGGAAUCAAGAGAAUCGUCAGAGGUUUGAUUGUAGGAAUUUAGAUACCUCAUCUCCGCAGAAGAGGUUUGGGAGUUUAUCUGCAGAAAAACAAAUUUGAUCAGUUCAAGGCGUGAAAUACUGCCUUUUGUUUAUGUCGUGAAACAGAAAGUUUCCAGAAAAAAAGUAUUGAGAUAAAAACAUGAAUAGAUGUUCAGCAGAAAGCACAAAGUACCACCUCACUUGGACGUCUGCUACGACACUCUACAAGUGCGAGCAUAAACAUGAAUAGUUAUUGAACAAUUCAAAUUACAAUAUAAUACCUGAGCGGUAUUGAAUACGACAUUCUGGCAGUCGGGUAAGAUGCUCACAGACCACGCAGGUAGAUGAUAUGACUUCCCGUUAAAAGUAACAGUUGCAUCAGAUUGGCUGUCGAUAUUCGCAAGAAAUGCUGUGCAAGCCCCUGCUGUCUUAUACACAUGAGCCUAAAGAAGAAAAUAAAUAAAGAAGAAGAAUUAAAAAUAAGAGAAAUCAUAACCGUUAUGUUCAAAAAUGCACCUAGAAAAAACAAAUAUAUAUAAAAGGAGUCAUAAAACAAGACAAUUAGACACCAAUUUCCUGCCUAUAGUAUCGUAAUUCUUUGGACUAUGAUGAUAUUCAAAAUGAAAAUGCAGUAAAAUGAACUAAAGCAUGCUAAAUGUCAUGCACGCAAACCAGUGUUUUGAGACACUGGUAAUAAUAGUGAGACAAGUACUAAAUUCAAAGGAAAAAAUUAACAAAGGAAAAAGAUUUUCCAAAUUGUCAAAUAAACAUACUUUUGAAAUUAAAUUAUCACUUUGUUCUAGUCUGUAAGAGUAUGGUUAUGAAAUACUGCAUUUUAACUACUACCUGUAAUAACAAAUCCAGUACAAACCAUCCAUAUUUUUUUAUCUUUGAGCCAGCCAAAGAUAUUACAAUUAGCACAUGAGUACAAAUUAUACGAAAAUCAAUGAAAAUAUAAAAAAAUUGUACAAAUUAUGCAUGAAAAUACAAUAAAAAUAAGGCACUAGUUACCUCCAGGUUUGUACCAAGAGAAGUAUAUGUUGGAUCAGUUGCUAUCAACGCAGCUUCGCAAAGCUUUAUUGAUUUGUGUAGAUCUCGUAAGUGACCCCACUUCGGCUGCCUAAUGAACCCUGCAAUCAAUAAAUGAAGAAAGUGAAAUAAAUGGAGACACAAAACCUUUCUGAAAAAUAUAUGACUUACAGUACCAGCAGGAAAUGUAAGAUAACAAGCUUACCAUACUCGUCUAUCGGAGCAUCAUAGUCAUAACUUGUCGAAAUAAAAGGUCCCCCUGAACUGCGGCCAAAAUUGGUUCCGCCAUGGUACUGACGAAUAGUGGAGAACGUUAUAACAAACAGGGAAAAUCGAACAUCUCUUAGUAUAACAAGGAAUAGAAAUCCUAACAUAGCAAGUUUUAACUACCAACUCAGAAUUGAUACCAUGUAGUAGUUUUGGAAUGUACCACCACGUUCAAAGAAUCGCGCAACAGCAAACGCAAUGUCUUCAACGGGUCUAUAUGGCACUGCACCGCCAAAAGAACGAUACCUAUUUAAACAAGAAAGAAUUAUAAACAACCUUGGCGAUCAUAUAUGAAUAUUGCGCCACUGGAGAUCCUCUGUUUAACAUGCGUGUAUCAAGACCUUAUUAGUAAGCUUCUCUUCGAAGAGAAUUGUUCAAUAUAAGUUGAUUUCCAUCAAACUUAUGCAAUUGGUGUAAAGCCCCUUACCAUCCGGUCCAGUUUUCCGUCCACAUCUUUGGUUUAUUGUUGGAGUUUGGAGUGAACUGAUCACAGUAGAAACCAUUGCAAGUGUUGAUCUGCAGAUUUUGCAUCGUGAUAAACACAGAUUAACAUCAAUAUAUGAACUCACUCCAUCACGAAUGGCAAAUUGCGAAUAGACAAAGAUAGUAAACAAUUUUGAUCAAAUCGGUAAAUAAGCUCGGGACAAAGUUUAUCCUCCUUGUAGCGAAGAUAUGAUCAGACAUGAAGCACUUACAACAGGGUCAGGAGCAUCAGCUUGCUGGCACAUUACCCAGGGAACGCCCGUGUCGAGUGACACAGCCAUCGAUGCAGCCCAGUUGAUGUACGUCUUUGCUGCAGGUCCAUAAGCCGAGUCGAUGUUUCCAUAUUCAUUUUCGAUCUAAAAACAAGUUGAGGACGCGCGAAAACAUUAUUUACAUCUGAGAAGCAACAGUAUAAGAUUUUCAACGAAGAUGAGAACUUUGAAGAGUAACCAAACCUGGGACAAGAUGAUGGGUCCGCCUUGCGAUGCAUAAAGGUUCUCCUGCUUCAUCAUAUCGACGAUCUUUGCCGUGAAUCUUUGCAUCUCUGCCUAGAAACAAAGAAGACCCAAAUAAGCUAAGAAUUUUGGUUUUUUUAAAAAAAAAAAUUUGUAAAACACAGGGUUAGAAUUAAAUAAAUGAACCUUGAAAGGCUCGUUGUCGGUCCUAAACUUGAUACCAGGGAUGAAAUGUAGCCAAACUGGGAAUCCCCUGCACCAAAUUAUAAACAAAUUAGAGAUAACAAAUUCACACAAAGAAAACAUACAAAAUUAUCAAAUUGGGUGAGAAAUUUAAUCUCACCCAUAAUUCCACUCGGCGCAGACAUACGGGCCAAUGCGGAGAUGAACAUAGAGUCCGGCCGCCGCGACCGUCUUUACGAACUUCACCAGGUCCUUUCUCCCCUCAAAAUCAUACUAUAUCCAUGCCGAAUUUCGUUAGAAAGUAACAUACAAAGAGAAUUGGAUUAACAUGACCAAAAAAUGUAAAGGGUCUCUAUAAUGAGAAUCAUGCCUGGUUUCUAACAGGUUCAUGAAGAUCCCAGAAAACAUAAGUCUCGAUAACGUCGAGCCCGCCGUCCUUCGAUUUCUGUAUCAGGUCCGGCCACAUCUGCACUCAACCAAUUUCCCCAUUCCACCAUUAGCAACUACACUCCACAACAGUAUAAAUUGGCUCUUUUAUCCCUAACAGGGACUAAGACUAUCACUGAGCCAUUUUGUUAUCUAAGGUCGUAGGUUCAAUUCCCCAUAUACAUACACUACUUAAUGACUUACGUCUGUCUAUCUGUCUGUCUAUCUGUACACGUGACAUAAUUUAUUUUAUGACGGUACGAAAAGUAUUUUUUGAGCCGUUUUCUAUUAGAUUGAUCUGAAAAGACACCUCACCUCGGGGGUGCUGCGAGGGUAGUGGAUGGAGCCGGAGACGAGGACGCGGCGGGCGCCGUCGAUGAGGAUGGCGCGGUGAUCGUAGCCGACGACGGCGGCGGCGCCUGCAGCGAUCUCCGAAUCGGAGAAUCUGAUCAAGAAGAGAAGCAAGAAGAGGAGCAUUCUUGAGGCUGCUGGUGCUGCUGCCCCAAUAGGAAUGUCGGUUGGCAAAAGUGGCAAAAGUAGCAAAAGAUGGGGAGAUGGGGUGGGUUUAGCUCAAAAAAUUGUGCUGUGCUUUUUCUCAACGCAUGGGGGGUGGGGGGGGGAUAGGGGAUUAGUUGUGUGCGUGCUGUGUAGUAGUAGUAAUUGUACUAGUAGAGGAAAAGGGAUGCUUCUACUUAUAUAUAUAAUAAUUCAAGAAGAGUGAGUCAUCUCUUUUACCACAAACUUUAAUUUUUUCCCUUUUUUUUUUUUGUUUUUGGGGUUUCUUGUGGGGAGGAGGGAAAGGAGUAUGGUGGUGUUGGAAGCGAGAGAGAGGAGUGAAGCAAAUUAAUGGUGGUGGAGUGGAAGGAAAAAUCAAUUGCAUUAAUUAAUUAAUUAAAAAUUAUUUUUUUUUUGCAAGAUUUGUAUUGUAUUUUUAUUUAUUAUUUUAAUGAAGUGGGGAAAGGGUUGAGCUGCGGCGUUUGUCCUUUAAAUUUGUUUGUUGUGUGUUCAUAAUUGAGCUACGUAACAUUGAUGGCGGGAGGAAAUUAAUUAAGAUUUUCUCUAAUAAACAUAAUUGGGUAUAAUUGUACGGAGACACCCCUCAAUUGUUAGCGAUUUUGAAAUAGAUCCUUACGCUUUUUUUUUCUUUUUUUUUUUUCACCCUUUAGGAGAGUGGAAAAGAUUUCUAGUAAAUUUGCAUAUUUAAAAUAAUAGAGUAAUUAAACUCAUAAAUAUUAAGCCUAGGAAAGGAAAAGAAAAUAUAGAAAACAUAUAAAACAAAAGUAAUUACUUACAGACUAUCCUAGAGCAAGUGGCAAAGUGCUUAAUGGUUGGUACCCGAGGUUUCAAAUUGGAAUAGCUAAGUUUAUUUCUAAAUUAAAUAAACGAAGUGGAUAGCAUGCUAUCUAUCUCUCUAAAAAAAAAAAGCUAUUCAGUAAGUUUCGUCUCUGCUACCGCACUAUCAUUACCUUAAUCACCAUGCAACGCGAUGAUAAGUCGAAUUUGGUGCCCAAAAGAGAUGGAAGAGGAGCUAUUUUUAGAUUUGUUAAAGUUAACAACUUUAUUAGUUGAUAAGAAAAAGUCAAAGAAAAAACUAAAACACAGUAAGACUCGAUUUGAAACUACGGAGAGAUUACAUUACAUAUUGUGAGAAAAUACAAUAUAAGAUUAUAUUAUUUCUGUAUGUAAUAUUGUUAUUCAUAUAUCGCAAUAAGUCAGUUACGAUAUAAUUUUUAUAAUUUUACUGAAAAAUAAAAAAAAAUAUUUUUAUAUGUUUUCGUUUCGGUACUAUUGUGCUAUUAGAAUUAGAAGGACCUCAAUACUAAUGAUUUUCUUACUAAAAAUAAUGGAGGAGGAAUCAUGUGUGUCUCAUUUAGUUAGUGCUUUUAAUUCAAACAUUCUUAGUUCUUCUUACGAAAAAUAAAUAAAUACAAAAAUUAUCCAGAGGUGCCACGUGGCUGCCGGACACUGCAUUUAUAGGUAUAGAUUAUUGUAGUUAUAGAUAUAGGUUCAAGGAGGAGAUCUUUAUAAAUAUGAAUUUAUUUCGAGUUAAAGUUUCCAUUCCCAAAGUGGAACGCACAACAACUUUUCCAACCCCUCACCUGCAUUACGUCAGAGAACCAAACACCAUGAUUCGUAGGAUACAAAAUGUCAAAAAAGAUAUCAAAAGAAAUGUGAAGGGAAAGAAAAAACGAAAAAAAAAAAAAAAAAAAAAGCACACCUACACACAAUGAUUACACUAGUGACACCAAACACCAGGACUAUGAUCCCAUCCAUAUUAUUUAAUAAAAUAUAUAUUAUUAUUUUUUGAUAGUUUAGAUGGUAGGGAGAAAUAUCUCGUAGAUACUUUUAUAAGUCUGGCAUAUUUAUACCUUAUUUAUAUCCAAUAUAAAGACGUCAUGAACAUACGUUUGGCAGAGACUAUAGCUCAUCUUAUUAAAAAAUAUAAAUUUUUCUUUUUUUUCAUGCAGAUGUAAUGUAAGAUGUAAAUAUUUUGACUUUUUGACUAUUGUUGAAAUAUAUUUUUUAUAUAUAAUAAUAUAUAUUUAUAUAUUAAUAAUAUUAUAUUUUAUUUGUGAUGUUUAUGUCGUAUUUGUAUCCUAAUUUUUCGAAAGCUGUCGGAUUGUUUUGACUGAAUCGUGUCGUGUUUCGUAUUUUGUAUUUGUAUCUGCGGCAUUUAGUUAGUGAGUAUUUUUUCAGUUGUUGAACCCUAGCCUCCGUUUGGUUGGGGGUUAAGGGGUGGAAUAACUCCUUAACCCUCAUUUUAUCCCCAAAUAUUUUUAAAAAUGGGUGGGGUUAGCUAAUCCCAUCUCAAAUGAGUUAUCCCGGAUUAGCUAACCCCACCUAACCCCACCAAAUCUCAAUCAAAUAUUAUUUUCUAUUUAUAAUAAUUUACUAUCCUUCUUAUCCCACCUAUUCCAACCAAAUACUAUUUUUUACUAUCCUGGACUAACUCCAAUUCCCAACCAAACACAAAAAUAUUCUAACCCCACCUUAACCCUAAAUUUAACAAUAUUUCUGGAAUAACUAAUUUUUUCUUAACCCUGCACCAAACGGUAAAAUUUUUCUCUUUAAAUUGAAAAUGUGCUCUACUGGCUAUUUAUUAAAGAGAGGACCAUACUGUGUGAAGUUGGUUGGGAAGUAAGGAAAGAUCUACUAUUAUUUAAGUGUCAAAUUUUAAAUAUAAUAAAUAAAUAAUUAGAUAUUAAUUCUGAAAUAAAAAUAUUUUAUUUAUUAAUAAAUCUCAAAAUAUUGUACAAACUAUAUAAUUUAAUAGAUGGAUUUCGACAUUAAAAUUAUUAGUCAUGUUUACCUUCCCGUGAUUUACAUCUUUUCACUGAUUAAAUACUACAACACAUAGGGGUGUAAACGAGCCGAACAUGAGCUGGCUCAUUAAAGUAUCGAGUUGAAAAAUUGCUCAUGUUCGGCUCGUUAAUAAACGAAUCGAACACGAGCUGGCUCACGAGCUGGCCAAUGAAUAAUAAGUUAAAAAGAUUAAAUUGAAUAUAUAUAAAAAAUAAAUUUAUAAAAUUUUAUCCAUUAGACUUUGAUCUAACAGUUGAAACUUUACAUAUAAAUAAGUCUUUUUAUAAUUAAGCUCGCCUUUAUAUUUUUAUUUUGCUAAAAAUUAAAUAAUAAAAAUAUAUAUUAUAUAUAUAAUUAUUAUUUAUAUAUAAAUAUAAAUUAAAUAAAUUAUAUAAAUAUAAAAUAUAUGUAUUCGAGCUGUUAUCGAGUCGAACACGAGCGAACUGGAUUGCCACCUCUAACAACACAUGCUAAUUUAUAAAAUAUUACAAAAUUUAUUUAUAAAUAUAGUAUUAAUUUUUAUUCAUAUAUUUAUUUAUUUAUUUGUCAAUUGUAAUGAAUGGAAAUUUUCUCCAAGUGGAAAGUGAUACGCACGGUACGAUACAUUGUAUACACCGUGGCAUCACCAUCACAAAGUAAUUGUAAGUUAGCAAAACUUUUACUUCGUUGCUCACCAUUUGAACAUCAAAAUCUAGCUUGGAAAAAAGUGAACAAUAUGAUUAAUGAUUAAAAAAUUAAGUAAAAAGAAAAUUUUGUUGUCAUUUUUUUAUCGAGAUUUAAGUCUGCAAAUUCAAUCCGACGGAUAUAGUUUUGUCACAUAUAUUAAAGAUCUUAAAUACAUGAAAAUAUGAAUACGCUAAUACAUCACCUAUGCCGAUCAUCGAUCGCAGACUCUUUGUGGCAAAAUAAAAGCAUUAAUUUCACACAGAAUUGCUUACAAAUAAAAGCAUUUCACAAGCAUAACAAUUAUAGUGUUUAGAUUCAUAAAUUUAAUUCUAAAAGAGCCACGUAAACAUAUCGACUACUGCAGUUAAAACUACUCUUAUUUAUUAUUUCUCAUUACUGUAGCCAAAGAUUUAAAUGUUUAAAAAAUAAUUAUUAAUAUUAGUGUGCUGAAUUAUUAUAUUUUGUAUCAGAAUCGAACAUCAGAUCGUCGAUAACGAUCAAACGUCGUAUGCGUCCCCGUUGAUUUGGCGAGAACGUCAGGGUCUUAUACGGAGAACUUAAGGUAUUGUUUGAUUCGGGGAUAAGCAAAAAGUGGUUAUUCUAGGGAUAGGUAUAAAUUAAGGUAUAAGCGGGGAUUAGAUCAAUUUUGUGUUUGGAUGAAAAUUGAGUUAUUCCUGAAAAUAAGAAAAAUAGCGUUUGGUUAGGUAAGAUGGAAUAAGAAGGAUAGUGGGUAGUUAUAAAUAAAAAAUAAUGAUAUUACCCUCUCUUUAUAUUUGAAUUUAAAUUUUUAAAUUUUAAAUUUUAAAUUUAUGUUUUUAAUUUAAAUUUUUAACUUUUAAAUUUCAAAAUUUUAAAUGAAAAUUUAAAUUUUAAAUUUCAAACUUUAAAUUUAAGAUCAAAUUUAAAUUUGAAAAAUAUAAAAUAUAAAAUAUUAAAAAUUUAAAAUAUCAAAAUUUAAAUUUAAAAUUUAAAAUUUGGAAUUUAGAAUUAUGAACUUUAAUUUUGAGAUUACAAAUUUUAAAUUUUAAAAAUUUAAAUUUUAAAUUUAAAUAUUUAUAUUUUAAAUUUUUUAAAUAAGAAUAGGGUGGGAACAAUUAAUAAAAAUAAUUUAUUAUAAUAAAAUUAUAAAUUUGAUAAAAAUAAAUAUUUUAAUAAAUUUAUAAAUUUUUUAUUAUUAAUAAAUUUAUAAUUUUUUUAAAAUUUCUACUUAAACUUAAAUUUAAUAAAAAUAAUUUAUUAUAAUAUUUAAAUAUAAUUUAUUAUAAAAUUUAUUAUAAUAUUUAAAUAUAAAUAAUAUUAUUAAUAUAGUACAAUUAAUAAUUUUAUAACAAAAAAAUGUAUUAUAAUAUAUAACAUAUUAUAUUUAUAUAAUUUAGUUUUAAUUCAAUUCAUAAUUUUAAUUAAGUUUGAAAUUAAAUAUUGGAAUAGCACUAUUCCAUCAAAAUGGUGGAAUAGUAAAUUCUAUGCUAUUGCGGAAUAGUCGGAAAUAGUAAGAUUUGACCGGGAUAAAAUAUUCCGGCCAAAAAUUAUUUUGUUUGGCGGAAUAGCAGGGAUAACUUCCGUUAUCCCUGCUUAUACCGCCAACCAAACGGAGCCUUAAGCCCUUGUUUGGUUGGGGGUUAAGGGGUGGAAUAACUCCUUAACCCUCAUUUUAUCCCCAAACACCCCAAAAAAUAAGUGGGGUUAGCUAACCCACCUAACCCCAUCAAACUCCAACCAAACACUAUAUUCUAUUCAUAAUAACCCACUAUCUUUUUUAUCACACCUACACAAACCAAUCAUUAUCCUUCUUUAUCAAUCAUUAUCUUUUUAUCCCACCUACCCAAUCAAACACUAUUUUUUAUUAUUCUAGACUAACUCCAACCCCCAACCAAACACAAAAAAAUUUUAAUCCCACUUUAAUCCUGAAUUUAACUCUGUCCCUAGAAUAGCUAUUUUUUUUUUAACCCCGAAUCAAACGGAGGCUAAGUGUCUGCCAUGGAUAAGCUAUAAGUAGUAGCUCCUUGAGUGUGGUUUUUGCAUUGUGUGGUACACGUGUAUUGCCGUGUGAGACUAGUUUGCGUGGAAUGGGGGAUGUUUUUGGCACCCGCGUGCCGAGGCCUCCACGUUGUACGCCCUUGUCGACUUGUUUUUCUUGGUCUCUUAUCGUACGUCACGUGGACAUGAGUCACAUGAAGUAGGAUCCAACAAAGGUCAAAAAAAUAAAAAUAAAAAUAAAAUGCAAAAUAUUAAAUUAAAUAAAUAAAAAUAAAAUACAAAGUAUUAAAUUAAAUAAAUUAUGAUAGUGAGAAAGGAAAAGGAGAACUCGGUUCUUGGUGUGCAGGGAUUGGGUGCGCCAACUCCGUUACGAUUAUGAGUGCGUCCAAAAAGUAUUCAAACGUGUGCACACUUCAUUUAGGUUUAAGGUGUAUUUGGUUUGAUGUAAAAGAGGAUGAAAAAAAAAUUUUCAGCGGAAAUAUAGCUUGCGGCUCGUUUGGAUCAACGUAAAAAUUUUUUCUGUAUAAAAUAGUUUUACAUAUUUGGAUGAAAAUUCUCUCUUUUAUUUUUCGAAAAAAAUAAUUUUUUCUUCAUAGUUUUACGUGAAACCAAACACACUCUCAGUUUGACAUUAAGAUCCAUCUGUUAGAUAAAACGGAGUUAGGGGUAAAAGUAUAUAGGGAUAUGUUUCUGUGUUCUCCGAUCGGACCGCAGAAAAUAUAUCAUAAUCGACUUAUCACGAUAUGUGGAACAAAAUAUGGUAUUUUUUUUAUCGUACUUUCUCACUGCACUUAACGUAAUUUUUCCGCAAUCUCAAAGGAAACCUUAGUCCCAUUCUAUUUUCCAUUUUGAUUUUGACGUGGACUCGAGAAAGCAAAAGAAACAAACGAAUGCACCGCUUACACAUAUUCGUUUAAAAUUUAGAUUGAAGUAGUUGUUUAGAUAAAUUACAGUUUAGAUUAAAAUUACUGUUUUUUCUUUUUUGUUUUUUUCUAUGUCGUGGUAUUGAAGUUUUUUUAAUUUUAUUGUUUGUUUGGCAGAAUAUGAAUGACAUAAAAAUUAAAUUUUUUAUUCUGGGUUGAAGUCAAUUACAAUAUUAUGGAGAGCUUGAGCACAUUUGUUUAAAAAUUCAAAUUGAAGAAGAUUUUUAGAUAAAUUAGAAUUUAAAUUUAAAUUACUUUUAUUAACUUAGCUAGAAAUAUGAAUCAACUAGGAUUCGAACAUGGGUCUCGGAUACCAACUACCAAACCCUUUGCCACUUAGGACCGUCAGUAUUAUUAUUAUUAUUAUUAUUAUUAUUGCAACAAAUAUUUUGCAUGAAUUGUACAUUUGAUUUAUUUUAUUAAUAUAUUUAUAUUAUUAAAUAUCUAACUAAAGAUAAUAUGAUAAAUACAUUGUCGCUAUCUAGGAUACUACUCUAGUGUUAUGUUAGUGCACGCAUAGAAAUAGAUGAAUUUAUAAAUAAUAAAAUGAAAAGGGUCCACCACUUAUUAUUCUACUCAUACAAUAAUUGUAGUGAGACAAAAAUAAAUAGACCAUGUAUCAUUUUUGCAUCUAUAGGUCUUGAUAUGGGCCCAAACCACUUUGUAGUUUAAGGGGUGUUUAGAUUCACGUAAUCACGUAAUCCUCGUAUAAUAGUAAACCAAAUUUAGUAAAAAUAAAACAUAUUAGUUUUGUCAUCGAUCGGGACGCACCAAGAAGAUUCGUUGUAGGUUGUUGUGAGCUUAGCUCCUGAAAAUAGCCUUUUUCUUAAAGAGUUCUAAAAUCAUCUUUUGUCGAAAAAAUAAACAAUAUAGCCUAAUAAGGCUAUUAUUAUUGGAUUAUUUCUAAUCUGAUCAAUUAGCAAGGUAUAACAAGGUUUUAGAGCCACUUCUACACCCAUUAUGUUGCAAGAUGAUUUAUGUUGAAUUCCCGAAUAUGCAAUUGGUUGCCACUUCUGUUAAUUCACGUGAACAACACGUCUGAUCUCCAUAAUGUACGUAAAUAAGAGUGCUAAGAAUAUUCAUAAUUAUUUAAAAUUAGAUCGAUUUUUUAAGUAGUAUUGUAUUAGAGUUGGACCUAAGCUCCACGACAUUCUAUGGUCAACAACGAAAUUAAUAUUUAUAUUCUAAACUUUGGUUGCAGUCAAAUUACAAUUACGUCAAUCCAAAUGCACGCCCCUUAUUUUGUGAGGCCAUACUUUUGCCGCGCAUUGGGGCAUUGCUUUGAGGCCUCAUGCAUUGUUUAUAAGGCUUGGACCAACCAUAUGACUAAGGUUAAUUAGUUAAAUUUAGGCCCAGUACAAUAGCAUCGAUCCACUGGAUCUAAGGGUUUAUAAAAAUUCUCUAAGUUUUAAGUACUUAAAAAAAAUUGAUAUGACGAAACGAGAGAUCCGAGAGCUUUUGGAAGGAUAAACUGUAAAAUUGACACCUAUAUAAAGUAAGUGUACAGAUAGUAUUGCUUUUUAAAAUCUUAGAAUAAGUUUAUUUUUCCGGAAUCGGAAGAGACCGGAGCUUUCCCAUUCUGACCGUGCACCAGAUCUUAACUUUACCCGCUACAAGGGACGAAAUCGCGAUUCGUCAUAGUGUAGUUUUGUAAGUUCUCUCACUAUUUGAUGAAGAGGACGCGUCACCGUACAAUGUCGUGGAGCAGCUACCGUUUGAUUUCACUUAAGUUGGAUGAUCCCGACCGCACAUCUUCUUUAACUACUUUAACUGCCAAUGUCCUCCGACUACACUUUUUUUUUUCAACUUAUUUACACUUUUGCCACCCACCCUAGCUAUGUAGAGGAUUAAUUUCUCCGUUGUAUCCGAUACCUAUUUCUCAGUGUGGAUGAACUGGAUAUACCAAGUGACACCCUUGGAGACGUUCGUAGUAUUUGGACCAAAUUAGCCGCCUUUUUGUUUGAAUCGUCGCGAACGCGAGAACUAACCCUUCUGGCUGCGAUCUGGUGGGUGGUCUGGAGGGGUAGAAACAACUCCGUUUUCCAGACAAUUCCGCCUGAUGCGAGUCGCUCUCUCGAACGUAUUAAACUCUUUUGACCAACUGGACCGUGCUGACCUGAAGCGACACUAGACUUACUCCUUUUUUUCUAACCUUCCCCUCUCACCUCCUUUCCCCUUUUUGGCCUUUUGUCUGUUAUUUUUGCAUUUUCGGAGACCUAAGCUGCUUCCAUCUCUGUACGCUUAGUUCAUUUUACUUAAUGAAUGAAGCUGGUAACUUGCUACCUUAUUUCUCAAAAAAAUAGAGACCGAGUUGAAAAUAACCUUUAGUUGAAUAAAAGUUUAGAUUAAAAUUAGGUUUAAUUAUAUAUAAAAACUCCUGCAAGUCGCUCCAUAUCUUAAACAUCCCCAUACAGAAAAAACUUAAACAAUGUUUCACCUGCAAUUAGCCCGGUGCCUCAUUAUUAUUUAUUUUAUUAUUAUUAUUAUUUCGAAUUUGAGAUUUGAAAUAAAAAAUCUAUAAUUGAACUGCAAAUUCGAAUCCAAAAUCUGAAUUUAGAGUUAAAGCUAAAUCCAAAUUUUGAAUUUGAAUUUGAAAUUAUUAAAUCUUCAUUAGAAAUUGAAAUCUGAAUUGAAAAAAAAUCAUUCAAUCUCCUCUUACAGUAUCUUCCAUGAGGAGCUCCCUAUAGAUUUUUAGUUUGCUCUAGGUGGCCCAGAGUAUUUCUCAAAACCAUAUCAAAAGAACCUGUUAAAAAAAAAAAAAGAAGGAAAAAAGACCUCUGUGAUGUUGCAAAUUGGUACUUCUUAUUUCAUAAAGUACACAAAUUCAAUCAUUGUAUUAUACACUUUAAAUUGUAUGCACAUAUCUAGAAAAUACACUUUGCUCUCGCUGUUUGGUAACUUGAUCACAAGCAUGCCACUUCAACCGCGAGGCUCUUCGUGACCCCUCUACACGGGUCUCCGAACAUCUCAGUCGACACUCUGAUGCUACAACUCCUCGCUCCGAUACAAGCCUACAAAGAUAUUUCACAAAUCAAAAUUAAGAACAAAGAAUUUUCUUUUAUUCACCAAACGCCUAACUAGCGCUGCAGAUACAAUACAGAUAUGUCAUUUGUGUACCUCUUGAACAACGGUAAGGGCAGUAGAACUAUUGCAUUUGCCGUGGCUAUAGCUUCCACAUGCGCCAUGCGGGGUCCCGAAGCUUGCAAACUUGAUUUUGGAGAUGAGUUGGUUCGCGCUUGGGCACUCCAAUCGGAGCAUCGGCCCAGACUUCCCCCUCUUUUGUGUAGUGAUAAAAGCAUCUAGUGGGGCUGGAUGUAGCUCUGAAACAUGUGCACACAAACUCCCAAUCUCCCUAACCGCGAAAGACAUUUUAGUCGGGUCCCCGCCAACCUCCUCAAAAAGAACCAAAUCGUUGCUACCCCAUCGGAGAAACGACCGAGGAACAUGAUACCUGUUUAUAUAUGUUUCGUUCACAUAUAUAUUUAAUGUGAAAUUGAAAUCCAGGUUAAAGUUACAGAGAAUAAAUUUGUGAUAGACACUAAAAACAAACAAAUGGUAGAAAUUCUUACAGAAUUUGAGAUGGUUUCCCACAGUUCUUGAGGCAUUUGUCAGAACUGAAGGAUCCUUUAUAGCUGCAAAAGGUGACACAACCAUUCUGCGGAGCUUGGUAAGUGGGCCAAAACCGGCCGAUACUCUGCCCGUUCACCCACCCCUCUCCUUUCCCCAUGCCCGUAAAGUUUAUCGCGAUUGGGCCGUCGCCCUCUGGUGCAGCAAAUUUUGUCUGCACCAUUAAAAGAACGCGAUGAGUUCGUCGACUAUGUAUCAUAAUCUUGUUAGUCUAGAGUAUAAAAUAAGUUUAACCAACAAAUGCGAGAGGACGGUGGAAACGUCAAACUCUGACCUUGUACCAUAUCAGAGGUUGAUUCGUCGGCAAGGUAGAAUCUGAGACCCAUUCAGAAGAAUCAUCAGAAGUCUCAUAUAGCCGCGAGUCUUCCCCUUUAAGUCCAAUCUGCAUAAGUAAAAGUAAACCGUAAAUUCAAGAAUAAUCUUAACAUUGGUGAGCUGAAUAUUACGAAAUUAUUCGCGUAAAUAACCAAUUUAGUUCAGGAACAAGGUUAUGGAACUGUUAUUGACGUACUAUUGAACAACCUGGUAUGUCCACGGUUUUGAAGAUAAAUCUAAUGUGCCAUUUGGUCCGUUCAGCUUUACUGGACCGGUAACUCCGGCACCCCAUAAAUCAAAGAAUGGGCCAUAAUCCUGGAAAUAUAAAGAAUGAACAAAAUCAAAGAGAUGAUUAGAUUCACAAUGAUCCACUUACAUAAAUGAUAUACGUGAAAAAUAAAUACUGGGAAAAAAAAAAAGAUUCCUCCAAAAGCAGUGGAAAGAACCUGUAGACCAACAGUUGCGCUUAAAAGAUCUAUAGCGUUCUUUCCUGGGGCGAGCAUAAUAAGCUUCUGCAGUGAAAAUGAUGCAUUGUAACUGUUUCCCAUCCCACUAGCUGAAUAAAUGUUAUAACAUGAAUAUUUUAGAUGCUAAAGUUCAAACAAUAAAACGCAAACUAUAUUUAGUUUUUUGUCUCAGAUUCAGUUUAUUCAGUUCAACAUGAAAUGCAUUACCUGACAAUUUUCCAUUGACAAAAACGCGAAGGACGUGGCCAAGUGAUUUCACAAGGAGAUUAGAUUGAGUUCCAUUUAAAAGAAACGGCUCAUCGCCGGUGAUCUCAAUGCUGCGAGAAGACCAUUAAAACCCGGUGAACAGCUAAUGUUAAUUCGAGGAUAAGCAUACCAUGUAAACAAGGCUAUGAGACAAGAAAACUACUAAAGAAGAAUCGUCUUCACCUUGUUGAAUACCAUAGAUAAUCACUAGCAUCUGCAGUAGUAUUUAUUUGCUCUAGCAAUCCAGUUUUUGUGAAGGCAUCGGCCUUUGAGAUACCGACAGGUUCUAUUGCAUAGCUCCAUUGUGAUUGUGGCAUCUCAGAGGAAUCAAGAGAAUCAUCUGAGGUUUGAUUGUAGGAAUUUAGAUGCCUCAUCUCUGUGGAAGAGGUUUGGGAGUUUAUCUGCAGAAAAUCACCUUUUACUAGAUCAAGAUGUGAAAUAUUACCUUUUAUGAUGUCAUGAAUAUAAAA
rnacentral:lncRNA from 1 species